rnacentral:misc_RNA from 1 species
UUUCCGUAGGUGAACCUGCGGAAGGAUCAUUCAUAAUAAGUGUUUUAUGGCACUUUUUUAAAUCCAUAUCCACCUUGUGUGCAAUGUCAGGGUUGAUUUUUCUCUCGAGAGGAUCAGCCCCAAACAUCAACUAUAUCUCAACUCUUUGUCUAAAAAUAUUAUGAAUAAAACAAUUCAAAAUACAACUUUCAACAACGGAUCUCUUGGCUCUC